UACGAAGGCCACAAGCGUUAUCCGGAUUUAUUGGGCGUAAAGCGUGUGUAGGAGGUCUGAUGCGUUUAUUGUUAAAUCUUAUCGCUUAACGAUGAGGCUGCAAUAAAUACGGUCAGGCUAGAGUGUGCGAGAGGCUAAUAGAACUUACGGUGUAGGGGUGAAAUCCGUUGAUAUCGUAGGGAAUACCAAAGGCGAAGGCAUUUAGCUGGCGCAUUACUGACUCUGAGACACGAAAGCGUGGGGAG
rnacentral:rRNA from 1 species